rnacentral:rRNA from 1 species
AGUGAACGCUGGCGGUAGGCCUAACACAUGCAAGUCGAACGGCAGCACAGUAAGAGCUUGCUCUUACGGGUGGCGAGUGGCGGACGGGUGAGGAAUACAUCGGAAUCUACUUUUUCGUGGGGGAUAACGUAGGGAAACUUACGCUAAUACCGCAUACGACCUACGGGUGAAAGCAGGGGAUCUUCGGACCUUGCGCGAUUGAAUGAGCCGAUGUCGGAUUAGCUAGUUGGCGGGGUAUAGGCCCACCAAGGCGACGAUCCGUAGCUGGUCUGAGAGGAUGAUCGGCGACACUGGAACUGAGACACGGUCCAGACUCCUACGGGAGGCAGCAGUGGGGAAUAUUGGGCAAUGGGCGAAAGCCUGAUCCAGCCAUACCGCGUGGGUGAAGAAGGCCUUCGGGUUGUAAAGCCCUUUUGUUGGGAAAGAAAAGCAGCAGGUUAAUACCCCGCUGUUCUGACGGUACCCAAAGAAUAAGCACCGGCUAACUUCGUG